ACAAUGUGUAUGAUGUCCUUGGAG
rnacentral:siRNA from 1 species